AGCGCGGCACAAAGUUUCCUGCGAGCAGCCCCGGGUGGCUGAGGUCCGCCGAGCCGGGUGGCCCAGCCCAGAAGGAGUAGUGGGAGGGUCUUUCCGGGCUCCUGGUGACCCCCUCCACCUACGCGGCGCCGACGUAGAGUGUCAAGCGAACUUUAAAAAGCUGCUGCGAGGGACCUGCGCCGGGAUUUCCACGCUUAGGGACCCGGGAGCGGACGGCUCCGGCCUGAGAGAAAUGCUGGGAGAUCCUUCCCGCCGUUGACCGGCAACUUUCCUACGAGACCGCCGCGGGGAACUGCGCCCUGCCUUCUCUUUUAUUCUCCGCAGCUCAGCCGGCCUUGGCGUCCUGCUCUGCUGGAGUGCUGGGCGCGCUCGCGGCCCGGCAGUGACCGAAUUGAAUCCCCCGCCCGACCCCUGGCGCCUCCGGGCUGAUGUGAGGGUCGCUUUCGGCUGGUCCAUCGCCUCAUUUCCCCGGAGGUGACCGCCCGUCGCCCUUUUCGGUGCGCGCAGCCUGAGGCACCGAAGCCUGCGUUUUGGCUGAGAACUGGUUCUUGGAUGCUGAAGGCUGGGCUCCUCCAGCGUGGGUGCCGAGGCGGCAAUGAGUGUCUUCAAAGUGUGGCUCGGGGUGGCCCUAGCAUUGGCGGAAUUUGUGGUAUUGCCUCAUCAUUCUGAAGGUGCUUGUGUCUAUCAGGGUUCCUUGUUGGCGGUAGGUCAUUCUUCAUGUAUUUGGUUUAUUUCUUUUGAAUGUGAAAUGCUUGGUUGAGGUUACUGAGAGAAUGAAGUGACCCUGUCACUGUGAAAUAUGUUUAUUUUCCUUCACAGUUUGAGGAUUAUCCUUCUUCUUGGCACAAUCAUGCUCAAUUACUUAAUACCUUUUCCAGAGUGAAUUAGUUCCAUUUGGAUACUCAGGUAUUGGAAGAGAAAUACAAACACCUAACACAGUUUGCAUUCCAUGGCUGUCCUGUGCGUUCUCUCAGUCAGAGAGAAAAUUAGAUCCCAUUCUCUUGUCAGAUAUGAACUAGGACACAAUUUGUUUAUCUUCCUGUUGCAUUUACUUCUUCCUUUAAACCCCCCUCCAAAAAAUGUAUGGUUAUUGAGUUACAAUAUGGAGGAUCCCGACUGUUGCUUUGAAUCAAUCGCUUAAGUUUUGGUAAACAACAAAAAAAUUAACAUUUUAUCUAUGAACCUUUGCCAUGUAGAGUAGGAUUGAUUUUGAAUUUAACAUCAGGAUGACUUGGGGGAAAAGCUGAUGCAAGACUCCUGCAUUUCUUUUCAUUAAUAAUGUACUAUGGUGCAUAACAGUGUGUUAAAGCCUUAUUGAAAAGACCGUCUACACUCCAUCAACUCCAAUAAAUGGUGUGACAAGUCAUUCUUUACCACUUUUUUUUUUACUUCAGCUUAAUAAAUGUUGUAAUAAAAGCAGAAGUCAGAUGGUUGGAAAGGGUUUGCUCAUUUGCAUCCUGACCUGCUAUUGACAUGUGUGAUGAUGUAUGUCAUCUUGGAUUAUCUGUAUGGUGUUGAAAUAGAUGAGGGAUAUUUGAAAUAUCUAAAAGUCUAGGUAAUUGUAGAUGUUCACAAUAAUAUUCUUGACUCUGAACUUUAUGUAAUUUAGUUACUGCUCUGGAGAUUUAUGGGUUUCCCCCUUCCUUAUAUUUUUUCUAUUAAAGAAUCAGGCGAAAGCCAUUUUCCACUCUCUUUCCCAUUCCAUGCCCUUAAAGGCCUACUUUCCCAACUGUUUAUUCUUUAAUACAUUUUAGAAAUCAUUUUAAAAUCAAAGUGCUAUAAAGUGUAUCAUCAGUUUUAUGGAGCUGUAGUAGAUAUUAUCGACAUGUUAGUUGUGCAUUUGAAAACAAAGAAAAUUCCUUACUGUAUAGAGUGUGUCAUAGCUUUUUGAUAUAUUUUCAUAGCUAUCAAUCCAUCUGACACACACAAUAGGCUAGUGAAAUAGGCAGGUCACGUAUUAUUUUAUACCCCCC
rnacentral:lncRNA from 1 species